UACGAAGGGUGCAAACGUUGCUCGGAAUUAUUGGGCGUAAAGCGCACGUAGGCGGCUUAGCAAGUCGGAAGUGAAAUCCCACGGCUCAACCAUGGAAGUGCAUUCGAAACUGCAGAGCUAGAGUCCUGGAGAGGAAGGUGGAAUGCUUGGUGUAGAGGUGAAAUUCGUAGAUAUCAAGCGGAACACCGGUGGCGAAGGCGGCCUUCUGGACAGUGACUGACGCUGAGACGCGAAAGCGGUGGGGAGCAAACAGG
rnacentral:rRNA from 1 species